rnacentral:sRNA from 1 species
GAGAUGAAGCCUCUGCUCUUGAGGCUUUCCACUGAAUCCCUGAUGAUCUUCUCCAUGGGACUGAACUGCAAACCCAGCGCGAUCAGCUUCUUCGACGCAGCCUCUGCUCUCACCAGCCCAGGCUGCGUUUCCUUGGGUAAUCUGCCACGGUAGAGCUCGGCGACUUUGGAAGCGAAAUCGCUCCAGUGAGCAAUGGACUGCACGCAGAGGUGCCUCCCGGAUGCAGAUGGGUUCUCGUACAGCAGAAUAUGGGCAAGAGCAACGUCUUCCACAUGGACUGGCCCCAUGUAAAAAUCCGCAUACUCCUCUGUGCAACCUGC